CACGUCCGCAGCAAAGCACAGGACUUAGGAAAGCAAAUGGGCAGAGUUCAGCCAUGCUGAGCAACCAUGUUGUAUGUUGUAAGAGAUCUUCAUCUGGACUUAGCUCUGCACAUCGUCUCAUCCAGGAGCACAGCUGGGGAAGGGACAGGUAGGUUUAAUUCCCUAAUAGAAUAACAUGUUUUUAAUAGUUGCUUUACCUCUUUAAUUCGAAACUGAGCCUCACUACGUAAAACCCAGCCAGGCCGGCCUUACAUUUCACAUUCUCCAGCCUCAGCCCAGCUGUUUACUUGUAAAACAAAACCCAAAAGUCCCAGCUGUCUUUUCACUUAAAAUAUGUUCUUACAUCCUCAUCACCAGUGCGGCUGGGUUCUGGUACCAGCUUCAGCACCCCACAGUACCAGGGUUCAGUCCUGCAGUUUGCGCUCACACUUUCUCUCCAGCUCUGCCAUCUCCUUAAGGACCAACGCCACGCUGUAGCGCAGCUCCUGGAAUUUGGCUAUGGGCACCUCGAAGCGGUGUGCCGAUCCAUCUGUGAGCUUCAGCUGCAUGAGAACACUCGGUUGCAGGGAGCGGGACUGAGCACUGGUUGAGAUGGCCACAUCCACCCGCCACCGGAAAUUCGACACACGAGGCAGCGAGGAUCCCUGCUGCUGGGCUACAGAGUCGAGAAGAGGGCGUUGACUCCCAAAUGCCAAACUGGCCAGAUCUCCAAUCAUAUCUUGGGGAAUGCCAAGUUCCUGGAGUUCGUCCUGGAAGGCAUCUGGUUUCAGACUGGCAGGGGGCAGCCGGAGAGCCUGCUGGAGCAGGGUGUGUGUGCCCGCCAGCAGGACGGCCAGACGCUCCUCUGACAGGUUGGCGCUGGCACCAAGGUGCUGCACGGCCUCUCUGCAGUCUUUCCCAUGGAGGGCCCCGACUACGAGUUUCAACAACUUUCUGAAGGUGCUCCUGUCUAAGUCCUUCAAGAGCUGGGCCACUGCCGUCACUUCUGCAGAGGGCUGGGAACCCAGGAAACUGACCCGGCCGCUGUGACUGUCAGUUGGAUGGUGUAUGCAUUCAACCAAGCUACAUCAGCAACCAGAAAACACCUUUUGA
rnacentral:lncRNA from 1 species